AGUAAUGUUGAGGAAUGAUGGUUC
rnacentral:sRNA from 1 species